AUACGUAGGUGGCAAGCGUUAUCCGGAAUUAUUGGGCGUAAAGAGGGAGCAGGCGGCAGCAAGGGUCUGUGGUGAAAGCCUGAAGCUUAACUUCAGUAAGCCAUAGAAACCAGGCAGCUAGAGUGCAGGAGAGGAUCGUGGAAUUCCAUGUGUAGCGGUGAAAUGCGUAGAUAUAUGGAGGAACACCAGUGGCGAAGGCGACUAUCUGGCCGGCAACUGAGACUCACGCCCGAACGCGUGGGGAGCAAAUUGGAUUAGAUCCCCUAGUAGUCCACGCCGUAAACGAUGAGUACUAAGUGUUGGAUGUCAAAGUUCAGUGCUGCAGUUAACGCAAUAAGUACUCCGCCUGGGUAGUACGUUCGCAAGAAUGAAACUCAAAUGAAUUGACGGGG
rnacentral:rRNA from 1 species